UACAGGGGGUGCAAACGUUGCUCGGAAUCAUUGGGCGUAAAGCGCACGUAGGCGGUUUGUUAUGUCGGAUGUGAAAGCCCUUGGCUCAACUAAGGAAGUGCAUCCGAAACUGGCAAGCUGGAGUACUAAAGAGGGUCGCGGAAUUCCCGGUGUAGCGGUGAAAUGCGCAGAUAUCGGGAGGAACACCGGUGGCGAAGGCGGUUCUCUGGGCCUGUACUGACGCUGAGGAGCGAAAGCGUGGGGAGCAAACAGG
rnacentral:rRNA from 1 species